GAAAGGAAGAAUAUUUUCGCCGCUUGAGUGUUGUGAUGGAGUCCAAAAGUAUCAGAGCCGCUUUGGUGAAAAGUAGUAUACUAAUCUUGCUGCUCGGACUGGGCUCGGCAGACGAGUGCUACGAUGAAUGUUUCCGCGUAUGCACGCGUGAUGGAGGGUCUCCAUGGAUUUGCAAGUACUCUUGCGAGGCGUUGUGUAAUUCUAAGUCCGUGUCACAGGUUGAUCCCAGUUGCAGCCUUCCAUGCGUCACAUCCUCAUGCCGCGAUCUGCAGCCAGAGGAGGAGGGAAUGGAAGCUUGCGUGGGUACCUGCUUCAAGAAAUGCGCCAGACAGACUCCUUGAAUGCGAGGAGAUUUCGGAAGAAAACAAUAAACAAAGCUUUUCUUUGUAAAACCCCCCAAAAAAAAGCUUUUCUCGUGCCCGAUGCUGACGCUGCUAGAAGUGUAAUAAGAUAAUAUGAGGAUAUACUAAUACUAUUAAUAAAUAAGACGUAUCAACUGGUCCUCUUUGUGAGA